GUCGGUAGUCAGGGCUCUUGUUCUCUCUGGUAUCAGCCAUUCCUCCAGCCUGCAGUGGGGAUGAAGAAAACCAGCAAUACGAGCCUUCUCCUGAAUGACCCACCAAGGAUGGACAGGAAGGAGAUCAGCAGAAGAAUAUUAGACCUCACCUUGGAGAUCAUCUCCCUGCUGAGCGGAGAGGAGUACACAAUAGUGAAGAAGACAUCGGGGGACUG